rnacentral:ncRNA from 1 species
UACCCUGGCGCCGGUUAUGGUUCCCCGCGCCCUCCGGUCGCGGGGCUAAGAGGGAAGCCGGUGCGCCGCCCCGCAGGGGGAGAAACGGCAAAUCCGGCGCUGCCCCCGCAACUGUGAGCGGUGAGCGGCCUCGUCCUUUCCGUGUCACUGGCGCCGCCUGCGGGAACGGGCGCCGGGAAGGCCGGACGAUGCCGCCUUGACCCGCAAGCCAGGAGACCUGCCGUAACCGAACGUACGUCC